UAGAACACCGAAAUACAAGUUUCCUCAUAGGAUAAAUGGAGUUGAAAUAGGAUUUUGGUUUUGUCUGACACAAAAUGGGACAUAGACGACCAAGCUAACGAAGCACUAUGUUGUGUGACUGAUGAUUAAACUGCACGCCCUCACCCAUUGUGUUCAUAUUAGCAAUGACAGGAAUAUUCUGAGAAGAUAACCAACAUUAUACCAUGAAUAUGCACGACGAUUGGAAGGGUGGGACACGAGUCUCUGCGUCAAGUGGAUCCGUAUCUGUAACCAAUAUUUAAGGAAAGUUACUUUAAGUAUCAAGCUGAUGCAAACUACAAUGACAACGAAUAUGUUAACAUUAUGAAAAUAAAAUAAUAAUUAUUAGAUAUGUGCUCAUUUCAAAUCGGACUGUUUCCAGAGUCAAAGUUCACAAAAAAAAAAAAGAGACAAAAAAUAAAGAAAAGAGAAACAAACAAAAACGAAUAAAAAGAAUAGAAAGACCAAUAAUAGAAAGACCAACAACAACAACAACAACAAUAACAAUAACAACAACAACAAAUCUAACAAUUUUGGAUAUUGCAUUGUAUAGACAUUUCAUAUUUUAUUGAUAAAGAAGGCACUGGAAACACAAAUCAAAUAGUUGCCACUUCAUAGCUGUCUGCCAUGAAAUAAUCACAGUCAAACAGCAGACUACUUGCGCGGAGAGAUUUCCGGAUGGAGAACCAAAUGGGAAGAUACCUGUGAUCUGAGGCCAGCUAAUUACGCAGCCAUCUUUCCAACCAUUUAGGAAGAAAACAUAUGUGGAAAUUUUGACAAAUCAGAUUUAAGGAAUCAUGUUUCAAUUUCUUUGGCCAAACAUCCAGUGGGCAGGUGGUCGUGUCCUGCUAGUAGUCGCGUCCAUCGAUGAUCCUUAUCUUUUCAUCUUGAUGGGCAUACUGAUGGCUGUUGUGGGGGUAGCAGUAUUUGGGUUACGCCUGCUGUGGCGACACGAGUUAGAGUAAUGGUAUGAUUCUACUCCAGAAAUAUGCAAAGAAAACUGAAUUAUUGGACCGAUUUUGAAGACGGAUUUUAGUUAGACUAUUG